rnacentral:rRNA from 1 species
AUGCAGCGCCAAGCAGUUCCGCUUUCUCGGUCCGAGAAAUGCAUUGUUGGAACUGGAUUGGAACGCCAAACAGCUCUAGAUUCGAGGGUUUCCAUUAUAGCCGAGACACGAUCAAACCUUAUUCCAUGCUAUUUCCAUAAGAUUCUUCUUUCUUAUUCUUAA